rnacentral:lncRNA from 1 species
AAGGAAAUCGUUCAUCAAUGAAGUUCUAGUUAACAAAUCUCGAGUUCCGUUUGUAAGUAGGAACGCGAUAUAUUGAUUUUAUUUUAUCCCAUGUUGCAUAGUGCACGUAAGUAAUGGCGUCCAGUAUGAGAGUGCCGAAUGUUUUAUGAAAGAAUUUCUGUGAAGCGACAAAAACAACAAUGGAACUGACCUGUCGGGGACGAGCGUCCUGCAUCGAGAACGGCAGCUUACUGAUCGGCAAUCACCGUAAGAGGGAGCGCGACUUCGCACGUUGCCGCCAUCUAUCGGGAGACAAAAUAUUUAUUUUUCUUUCUUUGUUUUUUCCCUUAUCAGAAGUUUUCCCACUUUUAUGCUUUACCCUAAUAUCUUCUUCCUUUUUUAGCCUAUUAGGUGCUGUUUGUCUUCGGAUAACUCUGUCUUCCACGUGACUGGAUGUCGGGCCUUUAAGUGCUUAGGUCACUUCUAUACAGACUCAUAUGCCGUACGUUCGUUUUAGCGGGAGCUGUUCGGAAAUGGGAUUUGAUUCGUCUGCGCGCCUGAUCUCACGGUACAUACGCGCUUCUUGGUUAUGUCGGCGAAAUAUUUAUCGGUCAUGACGAGCGACUUUGCAUCUCGUUUCCUAGUGACGCCAGUCACGUUUUUAUCUGCCACGUUCGCCAAAUGUCGAGCAAUUUAAUAAAGCGAACAUAUGCGUUUAGCACAAAGCACAGCACUAAGCAUAGGCGUUUUUAUUCCGUGCAUCAGAGGCGCUCGAAAUGCCAUCGAAUCGAUCGAUUCGGAACAAUCAGGGGACGGUAAAGGACCGCGAAUGUCUUCUUACCACUCCCGAUAUCAUUACGUUAAAUAGUCUAUGUAGAUACCUCUUUGACGUGUGUGAUAUAUGUAUGAUCAUCUGAGAGAAUUUAAGAAAGAAGUCGCUUUAUCGCUUACAGUAAACUUUCAUUAAUUUUCAUGCUGCUUCUUUCCAUCAUUCCGGGAUAUCGAGAGCGAUCUCUGACCGGUAUCUCUGCAUCUCCGGGAUAUCGGGAACGAUCUCUGAUCCCGACAUCCCGUUCGCAAAGAGAAAAUAAUAAACUUUCUUUCUUUUUUCAGGCUAGAUAUUGGUCAUUCCCGUUUAAAGAACAAUUUAAUAGUUUCAAUGCGACGACC